rnacentral:lncRNA from 1 species
CUCCCUCAGAGGGCUGUUGGAGGAGUAGAUGAGGUGCUACAUGCAGGGCCCUGAGAACUGUCCUGUCGCUCAGGAAGCAAGUUUUGCAGGGUGUGGACAAUCGGGCAAGUGACUGCAUGUGACAACAGAGAGAGGGCAUGGUACACGGUGGCAGAUGAGCCCGGGACUGGAGGCAGAUCUGGGUUCCAGUUCGGGCUCUACCAGCAGCACCCAUGUGUCCUUCUGUUCUCUGGGCCUCAAUUUCCUGUUGUAAAAUUCAGAACUUGGAAGAGAACUACAGAAAGGGACAGAGCUGUUUAUGUCAUGAAAAGCAGGCCUGAGCAUUAGAAGACUGAGAAACACCUGGGAGGAUCUUGUUUCAACAGAGCUCAAAGCCGUGGCAAAAGGACGGAGCUCGAAUUGUGCAAUUAAACCCAGGCCCCCAGCAAAUGGAAAAUGCCAUCCACUGGCACAGAGACUUCAGUUGGGAGCCGAGGACUGAACUCAGACCACCAUUCUUUGUUCAACAUUUCUUCCUGAGGGGCCUGGAGGAAGUCACACCCACAGGCCAGAGCUCAACAUUCCUUUCUGCUGACCCCAGGCACCAGUCCAUGGCACUCCCUAUGCCUGCAGGAUACCACAUCAAAGCAGAGUUGGGGGAGCAUUUCAGGAGGUUCCUGUGAAAAACCUACAUGCACACACCCCCACGUGCAGCUGCAGACUGCUAUCUAUACACGAAGUUAUGCAUCGCAGAGUCGACUGCAAAAGGCUGGAGCCCACACAGCGUCUAUCAAUAGGGAACGGGUUAAAUCGACCACAAGAUUUCCAUAUGACGAUGGAACACUUUCCAGCCAAGAAAGGAGGAGGAAGUCCUCACUGCUCUGAUACGGAACAGUCACCAAGACAUAUUUUAAGUAAAAAAAAGGCAGCAUGCAUAACCAGGGAAAUGAAAACUAAAACCACAGUGAGUUACAAUUUCACACAGAUCCAUCUACAAAAAAAAAAAAGCUGAUAAUUGCAGGUGUUGGUGAAGAAGUGGAGUGAGGGGAAUGCUCAAACUACUAGUGGGUGUGCGAAUGGUUAUAACCACUUUUUAAAAUUUUGGCAUUAUCUACUGAAGUUGACAAUGUACUUUCCCAAUGGCCUUGCAAAUGCCCUGGAGAAGUUCUUACCCAACCCCCGCCAUUCCCCCCAACACACACCAAAAGAAACAAUUAAGAACAUUUGCACCAGCUCUGUUCCUAGAACCCCAAAACUGAGGCCAGCACUGAGGCCAAGCACAGUGGCUCAUGCCUGUAAUCCCAGCAGGCAUGAGCCACCCUUUGGGAGCCUGAGGCCGGAGGAUUAUUGAGGUUGAGAGUUCAAGACCAGCCUGGGCAACAUAGUGAGACCUUGUCUCUAUAAAAGAAGUUUUAAAAAUUAGCCAGGUGUGAUGGCUCAUGCUUGUAGUCCCAGCUAAUUGGGAGGCUGAGGUAGGAGGAUCGUUUCUUGAGCCCUGGAGGUUGAGGCUGCAGUGAGCCAUGAUUGCACCACUGCACUCCAGCCUGGGCAACAGAAUGAGACCCUGUCUCAAAAAAUAAAAUUAAAUUAGAAAACAAUAAUAAUUAUUAUUAAUAAAUAAAAUAGUCCAAUGAAAAUAAUCAUACUAUCUCCAUGCAAUGGAAUUCUAUACAAGAGUGAAAAUGAACUAACUCCGGACAUGCGUAUCAGUACACUGAACUUCAGAACUAUAAUUAUGGGUGGGACAAAAGCCAGCCAUAGAAAACUAUUCUAUUCAUAAUCCCAAAAAGGUAGUAUACCAUAUUCAAUUAUUAUAUAUAUUUAUGUCUUGUUAUAUAUAAUGUUUAUUACAUUUAUCUUAGUAUAAAAAUAUAGUAUAUUUAUCAUAAUCUAUUAUAAACAAGUAGUAGGAUUAUAAAAAGACAAAAAGGGCAGGAUAAGCGUAAAAUUCAUGAUAGUAUUUAGGGGAAGAGGAGGGUGGGGCUGGAGAGAGGCACAUGGUUUCAAAAGCCCAGCUUCUUUGUCUAAAACAGGGCGUGGGUACCCAUACUGGUCUAUUGUAUUGUGGGUGUCUUUAAAAUGUAUAUAUAUUCUAUAACUACUAUUUUUGUAUCUACUCAAUAUUUAAUUUUAAAAUUUUAAAUGAGGCCUAGAACACUAUAAAAAGUAUGCUACCAUUUGUAUAGAAAAAGUGGACACACACAUCACUCAUGUGCAUAGAUUAAAGUGUCUCUGGAAACUUACACAUGCAACUGGUGAAACUGGUUUCCUCUGGGGAGGAGAACUGGGAGGCUGGGGACAAGGAGGGGCAAUAAAUCAAUUGAAAUUAAAAAUCACAAAAUUUAAGGAGAAGGAGACAAAGAAGGGAAGGAGGAAGAGAAGGGAGGGUGGAGGGGAGAGGCCAAGUCCUGGUCCCAGGAGGGACAGGGAGCAGAAAGAGGAGGACUGGCCAGGCUCUGGCUAUCAAAACCUGUGUGUGCCACAGGCACGAGUGGAGCCAGAAGCCUGCAGUCCUGCCCAGGAAAGCCUGUGUCCUCCGCGCACAACUCAGGCUUAGACCCAGAGAAUGCUCUUUCUUGCACCUGAGGACGGGGCUGGCUUCAAACAGUUGCCCAGGUUGACCCUGGCUCUGCAGUCUUUUGUUUCCAGAGCUUUGCUUCCAAACGAGGCUCCCUUGGGUCUCUUUCCCUGGCCCUGCCUUCUUAUCUCCAACCUUCACCCCACCUGUGAUCCAAGCGAUUCCUUUGAAGUUGCUUCAGAGUCUUCUGAGCCUUCAUCCUUGAUGACUCUGAAAUGUGCGUCUGUGGCACCAAGGUCAGCCAACAGCAAGUAGGCCCUUUUCAUCUCCUUUUAAACCUUCCCCUCAAGGACUCAGUGUCCUUGCUGUAUUGCCUUAUCAAAACCUGCUCACAUAUCCUUUGUUCACACUGGGAUACCGGUCAUUUAAAGGAAAACAGGCCCACUCUAACCAGGGUCACUGCCAAGUCCCUAAGUAUCAUGCCCUUGAGAGGUAAAAGCAUAAAGCACUAAGGGUAGAAUUUUGGGCAACAGCCAGUGGACAAGGACAAAAUGGGUGCAAUAUGCAGGGGUCCCUUCUGCCCCACCGGUAACCAUAACACCUCAGGACACAGGCUGGGGUCUGUAUUCAAAAGUGGGUCCCUCAGACCGGGCACAGUGGCUCACGCCUAUAAUCCCAGCACUUUGGGAAGCCAAGGCCAGCGGAUCCCUUGAGCCCAGGAGUUUGUGACCAGCCUGAGCAACAUGGCGAAACCCCAUCUCUACAAAAAAUACCAAAAUUAGUCUAGUCGGGCAUGGUGGUGCACACACCUAUGGUCCCAGCUAUUUGGGAGGCUGAGGGGGGAGAAUCGCUUGAGCCCCAGGAGGCAGAGAUUGCAGUGAGCUGUGAUCGAGCCACUGCACUCCAGCCUGGGCAACAGAGUGAGACCCUAUCUCAAGAAAACAAAAACAGAAAGUAAAAAAGCAAUCCUCGAGCAAAAGUGGGUCCCUCAGAGCCCAAUGACAGUGAUGAGGAGGAUGAGGUGGGAAAGGUAGUGUUACUCUGAACUAAAAAGGACUGCCCAGUGUGACCCUAUCUCCCAAACAGCCCAUGCAGGGAUCUGGGUGGCACCAUAGUACAGAAGUGGGUGCCAAGAGAGGCCUGGGCUGCACAGCCAGGUGCAUACAUGCCCUGGAGUCCAGGACAGGAUCAGCAGCAAAUCCACUCCAGGGAGCUCUCCCCCCUCACCAUCCUCUCAAUCAGGGUUCCCCAGUUGAAAAGCACCUUGGCAGUUCAUAAUUCUCCCUCUAAAGCCAGAAAGUGCUGUAAAGGAUAACAGAAGCCUGGCUGCACAGUGGAGCUUAAUGGAAGUCAUUCAACAAGCAGGUCUGGAGCAAACAUCAUGGACCAGCAGUACUGUGUGUUGGCACAGAUGUGAAGCAACUAUACUCUGAUACGGCUUGGAUAUGUGUCCCCACCCAAAUCUCAUAUUGAAUUUUAAUUCCCAGUGUUAGAGGAGGGGCCGGGUGGGAGGUGACUGGAUCAUGGGGGCAGAUUUCCCCCUUACUGUUCUCACGAUAGUGAGUUCUCAGAUCUGGUUAUUUUAAAGUGUGUAGCACCUCCCACUUUGCUCCCUUCCUCCUGCUUUGGCCAUGUAAGAUGUGCCUGCUUCGCCUUCCCCUUCCGCCAUGAUUCUAUGUUUCCUGAGGCCUCCCCAGCCAUGCUUCCUAUACAGUCUGCAGAACCGUGAG